ACCCCUCACACGCUCAUCUAAUGGUUGAGUGAACAAGAAGUAGAAAGUGGAGAGCAAAUAAAGAAAGCCUUAGGGAAGUGACGUAGAUAUAGGUAUGAUAGGAACUCAGGCAUGUAAAGCAGGUGUUGUGUGUUAAGGUGUGGUCAUGUCAAAGUCACGUCCGACUGGUUUGGUCACAUUCCACAGAACACGUGUACACUUACUGGAUCAGGUUACGUAUACAACAGGUCACACAAGUCAUGUAAAACAGAGCAAACUCCAAUACUAAAAUAUCUAACAUGGGUUACACACAAAACUGAAGGCAACACAUGCUCUGUUCCUGAUGUCAUAGCAAUCUGGAGCGACUUUCAGAGCAAAUAAUAAUAUUGAUGUCAAAGCUGUCAUCAGGGUUCUCGUUAAAAGCCGUCUAUUUCCGUGUCUACAACCUGCUAUUCUUUAAGAAAUAUUGAGUUUUUUUUUACAGAAUUGACAUAUCCAUACCGUGAUGAUUUGAUCAAUAUCAGCAAACAACAACAUUGACUUAACCAGUUGGACAGAAUCAAUCAGAACUUCCGGGUCUAUUUCACGUUUCUACUUUUAUUCUCGAUCGUUUACAUAAAACAGCAAGAUCACCAAUGCGUUUGAAUUAUACCAAGGCGCAACAGUACUGACAAACGUCUUAUUGAUAUAGAACCAAAUCGGUGAAAAAUGGAGCUGUCAAAGAAAGGAAAAAAAUAUAAACGAUUUCUUUGUCGCCCAGAACAGAAAUACGAGUGAUUUGGGCACUGUUAUUGGCAAAUGUUCAUAUUUGCUUUUAAUCUUAUCUAAACUGUUAGCAAGUUUUUUCUGUCGGUAACUUCUGAAUCACGUUGCGAUUUGUAAGUGAAGUCAUCAGUCGCGAGGAACACCCUAUCAGUCUCGUGAAUUUUCAUGAAAUUGCAACUUUCAAAAUGAUAAUUAGGUGUGUCUCGUAACAAGCAUCAGUAUAAUUUAAUUGCGAACUUCAAAAAUACUCAAAAGAAAUUCUUAGAUAACGGCAAUGUUCCUGGCGAUAAUGAUGAGACAUUCACAUUGUGUUCAUAAAGGGGGGUAACUUGUGGUGUACGAAAAACAACAUCCAAAUGAAGUGUUGACAGUUUUGUAACAACUUCUACGUCAAAAUUUUGAAAAUUUGAGAUAUACAUAGCAAAAAUGACCUGUAAUGAUGUACAGAACAUUAGAUAUUAAACAAACUAUGAUGGAAAAAAGUUUUGUUUUCGUUUGACUUUUUUGCAGUUCUCUAGACAACAUUUUUGACCAGUUUGGUGAAAUUGGGAUAUAUAUAUUUACACCCACUCAACAUUUAAACAUUCUACUUAUGCAUUUUAUAUCUGUCAGAUAUCUAGACAGAGACUUUCAGUGACAAGCCCCAAGCUGGCUCGUGCCCAUGAAUUGACUUCUCAUACUUAAAUUGGUAUCUGUUUUUAAUUUAAUGAUAUUAAAAAAAGUUUCUGAAACACCUCUCGACAUCUGGAGCAAUGCAAUUUUUGUAUUGAGUUUUCUACAUGUGUUGAUUAUUUACAGUUUUCCGAUAUUUUAACAACAUGUUGUUCAGGCUGGCAGGCAGCUUCCUCAACCCUGCUUAAGUCUAUUCAUUUGAGGAUUUGAAGAGGUAAUUUUUAAAUUGAUAUACUCAUUGGAUUAUCUUCACAUAAUUGAUGUUGUAAAUUGUAGUUAUUAUUUAUUUUUAAUUAAAAACAAAAUUUCAAAAUAUAAUUUGAUCAGAUUUUUCACACUUUCCUAACAAAUAUAUUUCAUAAAUUUCCAAGAGGAAUUGGUAAAAUAAAGUUGAAACUCGCAUUUGUUUUUGUUUUAUUAUGAAUAUAAAAAAUACUUGAAACUGGCAAACAGAUCCAAAAAUGAUAGUUGUAAUGUGUGGAUUUGUUUUCAAGUCUCACUGAAUUUGAAACAUCAACAGAUAAAGCAAAAGAAAAUAUUUUUCAAUUGUUUCCAUAAAACUUUUAUGAAAAACUUCCUACAAAUUUCAUGUAAGAAAUUGUUAAUUACAACACUCAAAAGUGCUCAAAUGCCACCUACAGUCAUCUACAAUUUCAAAACUUUCUGGGGGAGACUCAUGAUUUGCCUUAAUCCAUGCUCCAUUUCAUGCAUUUUUCCUCGUUUUCUGUGAUGUCAUUUUCUGGGGUUCCUUAUAACGUUAUCGAAACACAGUUUUACUAACUAAAAGAUAUGUUCCUGAAUAAUUAUUUGAAAAAUAUAUCAUACAUUUGUGUUGACUGCUUUUCAAAGUUUAACAAGAUUUUAAAAUAACACUGAUUUUGCUACACAAUUUUAUUUUUUGACUUGCAAAAUAAUGUGAGUAAAAUUUAAUUUCCAAGAAUAAAUCACCAUAUCUUACAACUAAUUCCAUAGGAAAAUGUGAAAAUAUUGUCAGAUAAAUAAUCUGUUGAUUUUCUAUCAGGGGAUCAUAUUUCUUUUCAGUUGCACAAAACUGCUCCAAUAAUAUUACAACAUUUAUAAUAGUGCCCUAUAUAAUUUGUAAAAUUACUCUAAGGUAAGGUACACGUGAAUAAUAGUAUUCCUACAGUGACAGUUAUAAAUAAAGUAGAUCAAAAGGUAUACAAAUCAGCAUUACACAUGAAAUAACGAUACAUUCAUCUCAAUAUGCAUACAAAUAAAUAUAUAUAGGGUGGUAUGUACAUGACAUCUGUACAAGAGCCUAAAAUGAAGACUUCAAGAUGUGGGUCUUUAUAUCCUUCUUUCUUCCAAGAAAAUUUAAUUACAAAUUAAGACAGAGAUGAAC
rnacentral:lncRNA from 1 species